GGCUCGGUGGUGGAUGGUCCACGUUGGUAACAUGUGGUUAAGAAAAAGUGUAAACUUAACCAACCGCAGCGUGUUCGAAUCACGCCUGAGCCA